rnacentral:rRNA from 1 species
AUAUCAAUAAGCGGAGGAAAAGAAACUAACAAGGAUUCCCCUAGUAACGGCGAGUGAAGAGGGAAAAGCUCAAAUUUUGAAUCUGUCGUCUUUGGCGACCGAGUUGUAAUCUAGAGAAGUGUUUUCUGCCUUGGACCACGCAUAAAUUCCCUGGAAUGGGGUGUCAAAGAGGGUGAGAAUCCCGUUUGUGGUGUGGACUACCAUGCUCUGUGAUACACUCUCAACGAGUCGAGUUGUUUGGGAAUGCAGCUCAAAAUGGGUGGUAAAUUCCAUCUAAAGCUAAAUACUGGCGAGAGACCGAUAGCGCACAAGUA